GAUAGCUCAGUUGCUUAGAGCGUGGUGCUGAUAACACCAAGGUUGCAGGUUUGAUGGGACAGCUGCAUUUUCCUGCAUUUCA